CAGCUGGCAAUUCUCUAUUCUCUAUUUUAACUUUACAAGAUCUACAUAUAAUGUUAGCACUCAUCAUAUCUCCUACUGGUGUCUUAACACAUAGUUCAGUAUUCAUAGGUUCAUAGAAUAUGCUAUGUUUUCUAACAAAGGUAGUGAAUAUAAAUGAAUAUGUAGUACCAGAAUCAAAUAAAAUAGAAGCAUAUAUAUCAGAUACUCGAAUAGUACCUGUCACCA
rnacentral:lncRNA from 1 species